rnacentral:rRNA from 1 species
ACAAGCGGUGGAUGAUGUGGUUAAUUCGAUGCAACGCGAAAACCUUACCUGGCCUUGACAUGUAGCGAACUUUCCAGAGAUGGAUUGGUGCUCGAAAGAGAACGCUAACACAGGUGCUGCAUGGCUGUCGUCAGCUCGUGUCGUGAGAUGUUGGGUUAAGUCCCGCAACGAGCGCAACCCUUGCCAUUAAUUGCCAUCAUUUAGUUGGGCACUUUAAUGGGACUGCCGGUGACAAACCGGAGGAAGGUGGGGAUGACGUCAAGUCCUCAUGGCCCUUAUGGGUAGGGCUUCACACGUCAUACAAUGGUCGGUACAGAGGGUUGCCAACCCGCGAGGGGGAGCUAAUCCCACAAAGCCGAUCGUAGUCCGGAUCGCAGUCUGCAACUCGACUGCGUGAAGUCGGAAUCGCUAGUAAUCGUGGAUCAGCAUGUCACGGUGAAUACGUUCCCGGGUCUU